CACCUGUCUUGAGCGAGCUCCUCAAUCUGAGUCUCAGUUCUCCCGUCUGAGACAGGAAGGUUAUGCUGCCUAUGAGCUCCUGUUCUUCUGACGGUUAAGUGAGGACAUUGGGGCUGAGAGACAUGCAGAGAACCCCACGCAAGUUCACGAAACUUCUAAUAAACUGUCCCGUCCGAAACUGAAUCCAUGUCUUCCAGUUCUGAUUCUGUGAUUCCCGGCAUAACAUCACGGCUAGAGGAAACACACUUCAGGAAGGACCAGACCAGAGACUCUUCUCCCGCCCUUCUGAUUCCUUACAGCAAAAGCAUCAGAAUCACAACGGAACGCUUUGAAAAUACAGGUGCUUGGCCCCCGCCUGCCAUUUUUGAUCCAGAGGGCCUGGAUCCCUGUAUUUUGAAGGAACCCUCCUAGCCUGCCCUGACGAUUCUCAUACACACUUCCUGUGAAGGACUUCUUGACAAACUUGGCUGUAUCUGGCUGAGCUACUACGUAUUUCUUAGUGAGGAGGCAUUCGAAAUCAACAUUUAAUAUUACCAAAAGAUGGAAUACAGAAGAUCAUCAAUGGAGUGCUUUCAAGUGAAUCACAAUCACACGCAUGUGCAAAACCAUCGGUGAAGUCUAUAUGUGCAAUUAAAUGCCUAAUUAUGCUUAAA